rnacentral:rRNA from 1 species
UACGGGGGGGGCAAGCGUUGUUCGGAAUUACUGGGCGUAAAGGGCGUGUAGGUGGCCAACUAAGUCCGACGUGAAAUCCCCAGGCUUAACCUGGGAACUGCGUCGGAUACUGGAUGGCUUGAAUUCGGGAGAGGGAUGCAGAAUUCCAGGUGUAGCGGUGAAAUGCGUAGAUAUCGAGAGGAACACCUGCGGCGAAGGCGGGUUGCUGGGCUGACACUGACGCUGAGGCGCGAAAGCUAGGGGAGCGAACGGG